CGGAGGUUGGGUCGCCGGCGUUCAGAGCUCCGGCGAGGACCGGCAAUGGGUAGAUCGGUAGCGAGCAGUCUGGCGGCAGCAGCAGGUCGCGGGUGGCGUCGGGACGAGCUCGCGGGUGCAGAGGGAUUCCGGCGGCGUGGUGGGCGGAUCGCGGACAGGGCAAGGGAAGCAGCGUCGUCGCGGAUCAGCUCGGCGGUGGCUUCGUCGGGUUAGUGGAGCGGUUCAGCAGCAGCGUCGGAAUCGUGGGUCGGCGCGGGGCAGUGAAGAUUGACUCCGGCAAGGGACUUCGGCGAAACAGGGCACCGGCGAGGGGGGUGUCGCAGGGCGCGGGGCCUGCUGUCGGGCACCGAGGAGACGCGAGCAACAACGAUGUGGGCUCUGGCGGCGUUGGGUCGCGGCAGGAAUAGCGGCAC
rnacentral:lncRNA from 1 species